GAUGAACGCUGGCGGCGUGCCUAAUACAUGCAAGUCGAGCGAACAGACGAGGAGCUUGCUCCUCUGACGUUAGCGGCGGACGGGUGAGUAACACGUGGAUAACCUACCUAUAAGACUGGGAUAACUUCGGGAAACCGGAGCUAAUACCGGAUAAUAUAUUGAACCGCAUGGUUCAAUAGUUAAAGACGGUUUUGCUGUCACUUAUAGAUGGAUCCGCGCCGCAUUAGCUAGUUGGUAAGGUAACGGCUUACCAAGGCAACGAUGCGUAGCCGAACUGAGAGGGUGAUCGGCCACACUGGAACUGAGACACGGUCCAGACUCCUACGGGAGGCAGCAGUAGGGAAUCUUCCGCAAUGGGCGAAAGCCUGACGGAGCAACGCCGCGUGAGUGAUGAAGGUCUUCGGAUCGUAAAACUCUGUUAUUAGGGAAGAACAAAUGUGUAAGUAAAUAUGCACGUCUUGACGGUACCUAAUCAGAAAGCCCCGGCUAACUACGUG
rnacentral:rRNA from 1 species